rnacentral:tRNA from 1 species
GGGCUCGUGGUCUAGUAAGCCCUUUCUCUUUAAAAAGAGAAAGCCCUUGGGGAAAGAGAAACCCACUUGGACAAUGGCUAUACAUAACCAUAAAUGACGUCGCCUUGACGUGGCGAAGGCCGUCGGUUCGAAUCCGGCCGAGCCCA